CACAGUGUGGGAACAAGAUAGAGGGAAAGGGUGACAGGAAUUAUAUCUGUAAACAUUACAUUUAAACAUCACUCACUAUUAGUCACUACCCCAAAACUAAUAAUGUCUUAAUGUACUGGAGGAUCCAUUGUUUGUGUGAAAUGUGUACAACUGUUACUUGACCAUCUCUUGAUUGCACUGAUUCCAUCUACGUCUCUGUGUAAGACUCACAGACGGGGUUGUGUCUGGCUCCUGCCUUUGUCAACACGUGCAGCAGAGGGGAGUUCUGGGUCAGAGCAGCCACGUCCAGAGUCUGUGAGAAAGUCUGUGGCGCUGUCAGGGAUCAGUAGGGUCCUGAAGAGCUGUCCUGGGGCUCUGAAGGAGCUGCUACUACAGGACCACAGGGUCUGUCUGCAUUUCACAGCGUUUUUACUGGGUAAGAAAGAUACACACACACACACACACACACACACACACACACACACACACACACACACACACACACACACACACACACACACACACACACACACAAUCAAACAAAGCCUUGCUUUAUAUCUAACUUUAUUUGACUCUCUGUUUUCCGUAUAGGGAUGCUUCACACAGUAGAGGACCCAGCCACUCUGGAGCAGGCCAUACAGGGUAAGUGGGAAGCUUAAAUGGCCUGAUUAUACACACGGCAGCUUGAGAAUGCUCACUCUUUACUGACUAAAUCAUAGUAUCUUUGUACUAUUGUCUCAACUUUUACCUCAUGUCACUACUUUCUAUAGCAUGACCAGGUUCAUUGGCUCUCAUCGUCUGGGUUGAAGAGAGAUAUGGGUUGUUGAGUGCCUCAGCAGAAUUGUUAAUUAGAGUGUUGCUGGUUAUGGAACCCCACAGGACCACUGUGUUGAAGCACUAACAAAAUCACUGUGUGCACUGCGCCAGGGUAAAGUGUGAAAUGCACAAUUUGUUUUCAAAACCGUGUCAAUUGAGCCCCAUGAAUAAUGCUAUGAUAAGUCUCUCUCUCUGUGUCUUGGUUCAGUGCUGGUUCAGCUGCUCUUGGAGUUACAGAGUGAACAGUAUGCGCGCUACAUCCUGGAUGAGAUACACACACACACACACACACACACACACACACACACACACACACACACACAAGUGAGUAAUAUCACACAUACAGGUCUAUCACUGUCUCUCUGUUCCAAAUUCACUCAGAAACAAAGAGCCAGGAAUAAAUGCCACAUAGAAUCUCA
rnacentral:lncRNA from 8 species